CAUGGCGGAGGGGCCCGCGGCGCGCAGAGCGCGGGGGCGCGGCGGCCGGCGCCCCGGGAGUGGUAGCUGCUUUGGCGGCCGCCGCGGGCGAGGUCGCCGCCAUGGCCCCGCUGGAUCCCGACCAAGCGGCAGAAGUACGGGGUCGGAAGCCAGUGACCAGACGAAAGAUUUCAUAUCCUUCUGGCUGGACCUGGCUGGACCGUGCAUCACCAGAAAGUCUUCCGAAGGAAGUGGCAUAAUCUGGACAUGGGGUGUGGGAACAUGUGCAGGUCAUGGAGCCGGGAAGUCCUGGACUCCGCUUCCAGGCGGGAGCCGUGCUCUCCAGCGCUGGGACCGGCGCUCCAGACCAGGGUGCCCUAACAAUGGCUCAGCCGGACUCUUUGUGUCCCUUUGAAAGGCGUGGGGAAUUGGGUGACCAGUUUGAUUUCAGCUUUAAAACAUGGAUAAGCUAGAGUGACAUGGCAGUCAACGUAUUCUGUGGGAACAGAGCAGCUUUGAACAAAACAGAGUCACUGUGGGGAGAGGAGGGGAUGUUUCUCCUGUGGCCUGGAUCCAUAGACAUUGAGGAGAGAGAGGUGCAUAACUUUUAGAUCUUCAAGUGCAGGAAUUGCUUCUUCCAUGCCCCCAGACCCCAGUGCUGGCCCGUUACCAGGUACAGAGUAAGGGCUCCACGGUGAGUUUUAUGAUAUGUUUGAGGGAGGGACAGCCUCUCUACAGGAGGGCAAAGGUGGGGGAGAAAGGAAUUACUCUUCCCAAACAGGACACGAGAGAAUGUGCAACCCAAGUCAGUCUUUGGACUUUAUGUUGUUUCUGUUUCUGGUGACAAUGUAUAUUAUUAGAAGACUUUUUCUUUUAAACCAUAAAAAGAUCAUUUAUUAAA